UACGUAGGCAGCGAGCGUUGUUCGGAGUUACUGGGCGUAAAGCGUGCGUAGGCGGUGUCUUAAGUUUGUUGUGAAAUCUCCCGGCUUAACCGGGAGGGUGCGGCGAAUACUGAGAUGCUGGAGUGCCGGAGAGGUAAGCGGAAUUCCUGGUGUAGCGGUGAAAUGCGUAGAUAUCAGGAGGAACACUUGCGGUGUAGACGGCUUACUGGACGGUAACUGACGCUGAGGCACGAAAGCGUGGGUAGCAAACAGG
rnacentral:rRNA from 1 species